UGGCUUAGUCGGUAAAGCAUCUGCCUGCAAUGCGGGAGGCCUGGGUUCAAUUCCUGG
rnacentral:tRNA from 1 species